AUUGAACGCUGGCGGCAGGCCUAACACAUGCAAGUCGAGCGGAUGAAGGGAGCUUGCUCCUGGAUUCAGCGGCGGACGGGUGAGUAAUGCCUAGGAAUCUGCCUGGUUGGGGGGGAUAACGUCCGGAAACGGGCGCUAAUACCGCAUACGUCCUGCGGGAGCAGGUGGGGGAGCUUCGGACCUCACGCUAUCAGAUGAGCCUAGGUCGGAUUAGCUAGUUGGUGGGGUAAAGGCCUACCAAGGCGACGAUCCGUAACUGGUCUGAGAGGAUGAUCAGUCACACUGGAACUGAGACACGGUCCAGACUCCUACGGGAGGCAGCAGUGGGGAAUAUUGGACAAUGGGCGAAAGCCUGAUCCAGCCAUGCCGCGUGUGUGAAGAAGGUCUUCGGAUUGUAAAGCACGUUAAGUUGGGAGGAAGGGCAGUAAGUUAAUACCUUGCUGUUUUGACGUUACCAACAGAAUAAGCACCGGCUAACUUCGUG
rnacentral:rRNA from 1 species